AUGUUUCUGUGGUUGCAGUAUUUUCAAUUUGGAUGGCAUUUAACUCUGUGCCAUGUCAAGAUAGCAGACAGUGGAAGAAUUGGUGGUCUGUUUCAAAGUAAAUAAGGAAUUGUUAUAUGGAUGCAAGUAACUGAGAUAGCAAUGAAAAUGAAUCUGGAAUUAGCAGUGGAACCCUUCGCCAUUAGUACUAAAAUCAUUAGAAAAAGGCUAGCAGGGAUGGGAAAAAGCAAAUCAGUAGGGCCUGACAGCAUUUCUGGGGAAAUUCUAAAAUUGGGUGGGGAAGCCAUGAUUCCAUACCUGGCGCGAUUAUUGGACGUAACAAUUAAUAAUGCCACUAUACCAAGGGACUGGAAAAAAGCCAUAGUGGUUCCUAUUUACAAAGGAGGUGAUCGAUCAUUGGUCACAAAUUACAGACCGGUCAGUUUAACAUCGGUGGUCUGCAAACAAAUGGAACACGUUAUAGCAUCUUGUAAAUACUUGGGAAUUAUCUUAAGCAGCGAUUUAAGCUGGGCUGAUCAAGUAAAUUAUACGGU